GAGGCAGCCUGAGAGACGGCUACCAGUUCUAAGGAACGCAGCAGGCGCGCAAAUUACACGAUGACAGUAAACUGUUGAUGUAGUGACAAGAGGUAACGGGGCGGUCCUCUAUGAGGCCCGUCAUUGUAUUGAGUAAAACUCAAAAUAUUUAACGAAACCAAUUGGAGGGCAAGUCUGGUGCCAGCAGCCGCGGUAAUUCCAGCUCCAAAAGCAUAUAUUAAAGUUGUUGCGGUUAAAAAGCUCGUAGUUGGAUCCAUGACCUCGGAGGGCGGUCCCCCACUGGGUGCGUACUGCUGCUCCGAGUCCUAUCUGUCAGUUUGUCUGUGUUGCCUUUAAUCGGGUGGCACAGGUGACUGACGUGUUUACUUUGAAAAAAUUAGAGUGUUUAAAGCAGGCGUUGAAUGCCUGAAUAGUGGUGCAUGGAAUAAUGGAAUAGGAUCUCGGUUCUAUUUUGUUGGUUCAAGAGCAUGAGAAAAUGAUUAAGAGGGACAGACGGGGGCAUUUGUAUUGCUGCGUUAGAGGUGAAAUUCUUGGAUCGUAGCAAGACAAACUACUGCGAAGGCAUUUGCCAAGAAUGUUUUCAUUAAUCAAGAACGAAAGUUAGAGGUUCGAAGGCGAUCAGAUACCGCCCUAGUUCUAACCGUAAACCAUGUCGACUAGCUAUCUGUCAGCGUUAAUAAUGACCUGACAGGCAGCUUACCGGAAACGAAAGUUUCUCGAUUCCGGGGGUAGUAUGGUUGCAAAGCUGAAACUUAAAGGAAUUGACGGAAGGGCACCACCAGGAGUGGAGCCUGCGGCUUAAUUUGACCCAACACGGGAAAACUCACCCGGCCCGGACACCGUAAGGAUUGACAGAUUAAUAGCUCUUUCUCGAUUUGGUGAUUGGUGGUGCAUGGCCGUUCUUAGUUGGUGGAGCGAUUUGUCUGGUUAAUUCCGAUAACGAACGAGAUUCUAACUUACUAACUAGUCCCACGAUCCUUGUGGUCCUAAAUACUUCUUAGAGGGAAAACCGGCAUUUAGUCGAACGAGAUUGAGCAAUAACAGGUCUGUGAUGCCCUUAGAUGUCCGGGGCUGCACGCGUGCUACACUGAAGGAAUCAGCGUGUUUUUCCCUUGCCUGUAAUGGCUGGGUAACCGACUGAAUCUCCUUCGUGCUAGGGAUAGAUCAUUGAAACUAGUGAUCUUCAACUUGGAAUUCCUGGUACGUUUGAGUCAUAAGCUCAAGCAGAUUACGUCCCUGCCCUUUGUACACACCGCCCGUCGCUACUACCGACUGGCAAUAUCUUUGAGACACUUGGAGCGGCCGUGAGCUACCCUAACCGGUAACUCACGGCUGCGAAAAGGUUCGAAAAGGUUUUGCUGGAGGAAGUAAAAGUCGUAACAAGGUU
rnacentral:rRNA from 1 species